rnacentral:rRNA from 1 species
UACAGAGACUGCAAGCGUUAUUCGGAUUCACUGGGCGUAAAGGGUGCGCAGGCGGCCAUGUGUGUGAGGUGUGAAAUCCCGGAGCUUAACUCCGGAACUGCGCCUCAAACUAUAUGGCUAGAGCAUUGGAGAGGGAAGUGGAAUUCACGGUGUAGCAGUGAAAUGCGUAGAUAUCGUGAGGAACACCAGAGGCGAAGGCGACUUCCUGGACAAUUGCUGACGCUCAGGCACAAAAGCGUGGGGAGCAAUAGGG